AACAGACAGGCUGAGCCCAUGCCUGGACACGCAGAGUCUUUGCUAGACAGAAGUGCUCAGAAUGGAUAAUUUGUGUGCAUAAAAGUGUCACAGUCCUGAAUUGGGCUCCCAUGACAAGGGAAGUAGGCAGAAGGGAAAAGCCACACUGCCUAGGAGAUAAUGAAAUGGAGAAGAUCCAGGCCAGGUAGAACUUGUUUAUCCUGGGGGCAUCAGGAACAGGGUUAAAAAGGAGGGUCUUCCUAGUUCCAGCCUGAGCUCUCUAAAACUCCAAGGUUUUUUGGUUUUGUUGUUUUUUUUUUUUUUGUUGUUUGUUUUCUUUUUUUCACUUCAUGAGCCAGCUCAUGACUACUGGGGCCUAUUUCUUAGGAGGAGAAAUAGCAUCAUGUGUUCCCACCAUGGGCCUGGCUCUAUGCAUGUAAGGUAGGUAUCUGGCCUUACAGCAUGUGGGUUAGCCAGUGCUGAGCACUCAGAGGAGAAGCAUGGGAAUGUAGUUUCUGUGGCAAACUGCCUGCUUAGCAUGUAUAACGCCCUGGGGUUUAGCCUCGGAACCACAUAAGCAGGGCAGAGUGGUACACUCUUAGAACCCCAGCCCUCAGAAGGUUGAGGCAGGAGGAUCAGGAGUUCAAGGCCUUCCUGAAGAACAGGACACCCUGUCUUAAAAAAAGGGAAAUACUGGCAGGUUUGUGGUUGGCAAGAGGCAUAUUGGUACGUGGCUUGGGCCCUCAGAAGUGAAAGGGGGUGGUCUAGGUGGGUUUUUGACAUGAACAGCCAGGCUGAGGCAACCCUGUGAGGGCUGCCUGCCUUAUUCUCAGACUCCCACGUAGUAGAAGUGUGAACCUAUGUGGGCUGGGGGUGGAGUUGAGUGUCUGAGGUGCUGAGUGAUCUUCUUAACUGGGGAGGUUGCUUCUAGAAGCGUCUUAAGUCAUGUUGAACCAGAACUACUGUACGGUUAGAGCAGUCAAGCUGCCUGGUGGUAUUUGAGGUCAAAGACUGAGCUGACUAUUAGACUAUUGUGGUCUAAAAGAGGAAGUCGUAAAAGACAGCCCGUAGAGGAGAGCAGUGUUGUUGGAAAGAGACUGGAGGAAAGUCUACCAAGAUGCUGUCUAUUCAGGUGUGAAGUUCCAGAGUGGGCACGGUAGCAUCACCCCGGUGUGUGGCCUUUGGGUGCCUCCUUAAGCCACUUUGCCUAGUAGUGACCUGUAUGGGUCUCUAUAACUAUGGGGCUUUGCCCAAAGCAGUAAAGCUGUACAGCCAAGUUGCUCUUGGCUUAGUGUUUCAUAACACACUCAAAACUAGGGGCUUUACCCAUAUUUCUAAAUUUAUGUUCAUUUUUCUUUUGAGACCAAAGCAAUUCUUUGGGUAGAAGGACAAUACAAGGUUUUGCAUUUUGAUAUUUUAUUUAAAACAGUCCAUUACAGCAGAUAGAAAUGUUUAUUUCCCUGAAAGCUCUUUUUCUUCUUCUGCUUCUAUGGGAGGGUAGAGUCAGGAGUGGACCCCAGGGCCUUGCGCAUACCAGACAAGUGCCGCCCUGUGGAUCUGCACACCCCCAGCCCUCUCAUAUCUUCUUGACAGUAUCAGUUCAAGGUUCUAGUCUUGUUCCAGCAUGUUUGGUUACGGAAAUGGUUCUGUAGCUUGCCUUUGGGAAUAUGUGUUCUUUUCUUUUCUUUUCUUUUCUUUUUUUCUUUUCUCUUCUUUUCUUUUCCUUUCUCAAAUCCCCAAAGAAGAAAACACAAUAGGAACAUUGAAGUUAAAAUAAUCACUUUAAACUCUUUUUAAAAUAACAGGUUAAGAUAAUAGGAACAUUAAAGUAUUGAAUGUCAAUCAAUUCAUUGUACUUUGGUGUCUCCACAAGGUCACACCCCUUUAUGUCUGUUGCAAACUUUAGCCUGCACAGUAGCCUGUGAAACCAAAGGGGGACCAUUUAGGUCUGAAAGGAGGCAGGUCCUGGCCUGCCUCUGUCACAUGGGCAUCUUCAAAGAAAACAUUUUUCCAGUGGGGCUGCCUGGUAGAUUCUGCUAUAUAAUUUUAAAUGAUGGGCUCAAUAUCCUUGUUCUGAAUUGUUGAGGAAUGUGUGUUCCUCAACAGGGUAAAAAAUAGUGAUGGGGCGGAGCCAGUUUGUCAGGGGAACUGAACCGACUCCCUUAACUCUGGGCAUUACCUAGGCCUGCUCUACAGAGAAAAGGACAGUUUGCCAUGAGUUGCUGUGAUGCAUGUGUGUUGCUGGUGUUACAGGUAAACGGGGAUGAGGCUGCAGUACAAACUCCGUUCUGUUUGUCCUGGAUCUUGUUCUGUAUACCUUUAAUGCUGACACCCAGGUUGACUGUGUGAGACCCAUCAUGAGAAUGUUAUUUAAAGUUGUAUUAUAAUGUCACCUCCAAUAAUUAUUCAGUACUGUAGUAGCAAUGUGUUAUUUGUAAGAAUUUGGUUAUUUUUUAUACUUAUAUCCACUCUAAGUCUGGCGUUCUAGUCAGCAAACAAUGAUACAAUAAAAUUAGUAAGAUUCCCAUUGGCUUUCUCUUACAACAAGC
rnacentral:lncRNA from 1 species